AGAAGCGAAAGGCCGUCCGCGAGCUCCUGAAGCCUCGAAAAAUGCUCGACGAGUAUGCCACCAUCGUGAGACUACAGUUCUACAGUGUUGCGAGACAGAUGUUCGAAGACCCCGACGGCCGGGAAUUCUUUGAGUGCUUGCGAAUGUCACGAGCAAGCGUUCCUUUUGGCCUACGAGUGGGCUCGUUUUCGGUAUGGAGUGCUUGGCGAUUUCGAAAACCCCUCUGAGGACGUUUGCGACCUCUUCUGCAACGAUGGUGCGCAGGAAUUCAAGUUUUGCAAAGACGAAGGGAAUGUCAACAUUGAGCAAGCAAGACAUUCACAUUACAGAACUUGCGCAUCUAAAUCAACAUGGGCUGUAAUCAGAGAAAGCGACGACUUUCAUGAGUUUGAAGGACCUGCCCUUGAGACCAAACCAGAUGUGAUAUUCCGUGAGAUCCAGCACAUUAAUGCGCCUGGAAGGCGAACUGUACUUGUUUUUGAUACAUCAAGCACGACUGUGAGUGGUUAAAUGUAAAAUGUUUUAUUAAAAUUGUAAUAUAGUGAUCAUUGUUGCAUAAUACAACAAUGCCGUGGUUGCA